UACGAAGGGGGCUAGCGUUGCUCGGAAUCACUGGGCGUAAAGCGCACGUAGGCGGAUUGUUAAGUCAGGGGUGAAAUCCUGGAGCUCAACUCCAGAACUGCCUUUGAUACUGGCGAUCUCGAGUCCGGGAGAGGUGAGUGGAACUGCGAGUGUAGAGGUGAAAUUCGCAGAUAUUCGCAAGAACACCAGUGGCGAAGGCGGCUCACUGGCCCGGUACUGACGCUGAGGUGCGAAAGCGUGGGGAGCAAACAGG
rnacentral:rRNA from 1 species